GGAGAGAGAGGAAAAACCGAUCUCAUGCCGCAUCGGCCAAACACUGCACGCACUGCCUUUUUGCUGCUUGGCGUCUUGCAAAGCUUGCCUCUCCGGCCUGGUCCAUCCUCCCAACAAAUUCGCUGGAGAGAAGAUAUUCAGCCCCCGUUUGGUAAUACUAUGAGUCCAUUUUUUUUAAAGUUUGUUAUAAAAAAGAGUUAAGAUUUUUUAAUUUUUUAAUUUUUUAAUUUGAUGUCUUUACUUUAGUAAAAUAAAAAAAAUAAAAAAAAAUAAAGAAAAUAAAAGGAAUAAAAAGUUAAGUAUUUCGUAUUUCUUACGUAUAAGCUUAAAAAAAAUAAGUGAUAAAAAAUGUACCAAACUGAGCUUCAAAGACGAAUUUUAAGUGGAAUUAAUCUUGACUUUUACUAAGGCCCUGUUUGGGGUUGUAUUUUUUGAAUUUAUAGAGCUUCUUUGAUUUUUGAAUUUAAAAAAAAAAUGCAAAAAAAUCACCUAAUUUGAGGGGAAAAAGUAUUAAAAACCAAAAUAAAGUUUAUUUUUUUUUAGUAAAUCUUUUUUUAUCAAAUUAUGUAAUUUUUUUAUAUUUUUAAGUUUUCUUGCCAAGAGAAAUAAAAAACGUGUAAAGUUUUAUUUAAAAAAUUUAUUAAAACGAAAAAACUUCCAACAAUCGUGUCUACCUAACAAUACUCACUAAUAGUCUCUAUCUUUUCUCCGCCUAAUUAAUUUCAUUUCUUCUUCCCCAUUUCAAAUACCACAAUCAACCAUGGCGUACCACACGGAUUGAUGGAAGAAUCUGAACCCGAAUUUAGCAAUCGAUUCUCAUCAAAUUUCUUAAUUUUCUUGAAUGACCUCUUCCUUUGCAGAGGAGUUCUUUGACAGGAAAAAUGCAGAACGAAAAUGGCAAAAAUUUAAUGAGCUAUAUUUCAAAAGGGAAAAAAGAGCGAAACAUUCCGUCUCCGAAAGUGGAAAGCAUACCUUUGCAGUUCAAUACAAAGCUGGAGGUUGGGUACUUCUUCUUUCCACUACGUUUGAGUAUGCUGAAGUGGGGGUUAAGAUCCCCGAAGUAGAGGUUUUUGGAGAGUGUUCAUGGAGUGAUCACCCUCCACACCCCCCCCCCCCCCCCUCCCCCCUCCGAACGAUAACGAUACUGUUUUGAUAAUGCUGAAUUUUUUUUUUGUAUUGAUCAAAACGAUGCCAUUUUGUUUAUCAAAACCGGCUUUGUUUUGAUUUUGCUGAAUUUUUUUUUCUUUCUUCUUCCUCAGAAUACAACUUAGUCGAGACGACGCUGUUUGUGUAUAUUGGAAGUCAAUUAUGAUGGGUUUGGGGGCUCAAAGUACCAUUUCAGUCUUUCAUUUGGGCUGUUUCGCGACUUGCAAGUUCGCAUCAAGCCUGUAAGUGUCCAUUGCGUUCCUAAGGUUUUUUUUUUCCUUGCACUUAUUUGUUCUUAUCCCAUCUCUUGUGAACCCAAAUUGUCUUUUUUUAAAAUGGAACACAUCACUCUCUCGGAUACUGCAAGCUGUGUUUUAUUACGAGAGUGAGAAAAAUUUCAGCAAAAUCAAAACGACGCCGUUUUGAGCACUAAAAAAAAAAAUCAGUAUUAUCAAAAUAACGUCAUUUAUUCGUUUUGUUAAAUGAAGCGGCGUCGUUUUGAUCACCCCACCCUCAAAGUAUUGAGUAAUUAUCACUUUGCUCUCCAAAUAAUAAUUUUCUCAAUUUACCCAAUUAGUUGCAAUCAAGUUUAGUCUCCAACAUCUGUCCAAUUUCUAAAGGAAUAUUACACGUGGGCGCCACGUGAAAAAGCCAAAACCUUUUAUCUAAAAAAUACAACUCAUAUCCCCUCCCCUCCCCUCCUAGACAUCCACCCACCGCCAUGGGCAUCAACCUUCCACCGCCGCCGCGAAUCGCAAGACACCAUGUAUCUCGCUCUCACACAUGUAUCUCUAGACAUGUAUAUAUGAGUUCUCCUACAAGUUCCUCGUCCGAAUACGUCCUCCGACCCGUUGCCUGCUUAUCUGGUGAGCCACAUAAGCACCUGAAACUUAGCUUUUGCUGGUAUUUCUGUGCUUUUUGCUUUUGUUUGCUUCUCGUUUAGAUAGGUCUUGUCAACAAGUUUCCUUAAAAGGCAUUGGUUUAGAAUUUCCCCAACCCCACUGGCAUUGGAUACAACGCUUAAAUGAUUGAAUAUUUCACAGUUCACUUUCAUGUAUAAUGUCCAACUGGUAUUGUUUGGCAAUCUUAAAAUGAUUGAACAUUCCACAUUUCACUUUCUGUAGAAUGUCCAACUAUUUUAAACAAGUUAACAGAUGACCUAGGGGGCCCCCCGCCGGCGGCUCUCGAUAACAAUCCUAAGCUAAUGUGUAACUAUCAGGAGAGUUGUCCCGAGUCCAGGACUCUGCAAGCAUUAAAAGUACCCCGCAUAAAAACCUAUUUUGGAUACCUACAGAAGAACACAAUUCGGAAUUCACAACCGGUCUUCCCCUGUAAGUGACCACGCAAUACAUAGGGCCACUUCCUUCACAGCUUGUGUGUACUAUAAAGAAUAUCGUGAAAUGAUAAUCUUCCGUUUUCUAUUCAACGUGACAACACAAUCAUCCCAAAAUUAGCUCUUAGUUUUCAGUAUGAACAUGUCUGAGGUAAAUAAUAUUAGGAAACAGAAGCGAAAAAGUGCAUAAGAUAAGACAAUCCAGCAUCAUUGAUCCAUCAUGGUAGAUGUUGAUCAGGCUUCUGCAGAUCUACUUUAGUACUUUGUCUAAACUAAAGCCUGCAAUUGAGUCUGUCAUGUUCGGUGCUCACAUGACUUCUGGUGA
rnacentral:lncRNA from 1 species